rnacentral:RNase_P_RNA from 1 species
GAAGCCAACUAGAUGAUCGCGGGGGUAAGGACCGAAAGGUCGCCUCUGAGGAAAGUCCGAGCUCCAUAGGGCAAGGUGCUGGGUAACGCCCAGUGGGGGAAACCCCAAGGAAAGUGCAACAGAGAGAUACCGCCUAAUACUCCGCUUGAGUGUUAGGUAAGGGUGGAAAGGCGAGGUAAGAGCUCACCGGCAGUCAGGUGACUGACUGGCCAUGUAAACCCCACCUGGAGCAAGACUGAAUAGGGGAACUUUGAACGGCCCGUUUUUGUUCCCGGGUAAGGUCGCUAGAGGCCGUCGGUAACGGCGGUUCGAGAUAGAUGAUCAUCACCUCCAUACGGAGGAACAGAACUCGGCUUAUAGGUUGACUUCGCAU